AGGGCACAGACAGGUUUAUUCUACUCAUGACUCUUGAGAAUCCUGCUGACUGGGUUGUUAAAUGACCUGGCAACUGGUUCCUCAAAUGAAAGUUCUUGAUGGCUUUCCAGGCAAGAGGAAGGGUGCUGAGUGACACACAGAAAUAUAUAAGGGAGAAGGCAGGGUGAGCUCGCAUGGCAAUGGUGUGUUCAGGAACAGACUAUGGAGGAGGUGCCAGUUCUAAGACCUGACACUGCAUUCUGGAGAAUUUGUUCACCAUGAAACAAAUGGUGAGAGGCUAGCAAUGCUGCACAUCUUUUGUAUAUAAAUGGUGAAACUUUCAAAAAUGAUGUAGUCUUGAAAGUGGAGUGCUCCAGUAGACCACUGCAUACGCUCUUUUCCUUAGUUCCGCUACUGGAUUCAUGCGAAAUGUUGAGAAUAUUUCUUGAAGAUUCUUUUCAAUGGAAUAACCACUUCCAUUAUUGUAUCUCUGAAUGUUAUAUAGACGAAAUGAAAGUCAUAGAUUAAAUUAAUGGAAGGAAAGUGAACUACAAACCAUGCUUACUUCUACUUUGGCAAAGUGAAUUAUUCAUGAAAACUCUACUGCAGGCUUCCAAUGCCAAAGCACUGAGAACACUCAGCAGACAGUGAACAGCCUGCUUCCGAAUGAUUUCUUCAGACCCGGAGACCAAGACCCUGCAGACCACAGACAUUCUUCAAACAGGCUCCUGUCAUACGUUUUGAGGAAGUGCUAAGACUCCAACUCUGCUUCCUAACUCAUGGCAGGAAAUAGGUCAGAGUUUCGAGCAAGGGCCUUUGGGUCCAACUUCCAGAGUAUGAAUUCCAGCUCUGCCUCUUUCCAGAUGUGCGAUCCUCGUCAGUUUCCUUAAGUUGUCACUAAAAUGGGCAUAUUUGCAGCUAUGGCUCCAUCAGGAAGUUUUAAGGAUAUACUGAUACGUAAGUGUACGGUACACUACCUGGCACAGAUUAACUGCCAAUGGAGGCUAUCAUUAUUAUGCACAUAACACCAUUAACACAGUAUCCUCAAGUGGGGAUAGGCAGCUGCAGGGCUCACCUGUGGUUACAUCCCUCUUGUCCACCCUGAAUUUUGGUAGCUCAUGUCAUUUUUCUUUCUUGAGUUAUUUAUUCGCGAAUAUGGUGCAUCAGGCAUUACGCUUGGAACUAGAAACUGCAGCAAGAACAUAAGUAAGAAUCCUAUCCUGAAGAAGCUUUCAGGGCAAAAAGGAUAAGAGGGAGAAUUAAUCACAAAAGGAAUGUUAAUCAUGAUAACAACUGUGUAAAAAAAAAAAAAAAAGCUGGUGUUAUGAAAACACAUCGGGUUUGGGAGUGGGUAGAUGACC